rnacentral:lncRNA from 1 species
GAAUGGGAGAGCGACAUUAUCCUUCGAGACCAUUUCAAAUUUUGCUCAUUCUUCAAGACUGAUUGAGAAAGGUGCGAAAUAAACCACCUAGAUAAUAAAGGUACGCAACACAUGAGAGUCCCUUGCCUUUUCAUAGUACGAGUGUGAAGGAAAUGCAAAAUGUCUCCAAGCAAGGUGGGCACAGGGUUAUGAGUGAGAAAUAUCUUAA